GUUAGUGCACGGGGGCUGAGCCUUUCAUGGUUUGAAAUUCCCACUGGUGCCACGGGACAGAACACCUAACUUGCUCAGGUGGAGGACCACUGUGUUGGACUUUAGGUGAGAAGCUGGAUCAUGGUGUCAGAACAAAUAGACAGAGGAGGUGGACUUGAGUGCUGUGUUAGUACCACUUGGUUUCCCAGCUGGCUGCUUUUGACCCAACAGGGCCGCUCAGAGUUGUGGAGUAGACCACUGGAGCGUUUCAACAGGGCUAAAGUUACCAGGAAACCAGACAAGCCUAGAAAAGCCAUGAAACAAUCAACCUCAAGCAGGAAAGCGAUGAAGAAGAGUAAGAACCCCUGUCAACGCAAG